GACUUAGGACCCUAUACUUCAACGAUACACAGACCCUAUACGAUUCGAGGAUGAUUUUGAUGCGGUUAAGGUGUCAAAUAGGUGCAUUUCGUAGAGUUAGUUCUGUUGGGGCGAGAGAGAAGCCUGAAGUUUGACCAUACUUUGCUGGGAAUAGUCGACGACUGGGAAGCCUGCUGCAACCACGAUUGGGGAUCGUUGUCAUUCAAGAAGUCAAUAAAUAGUCUGCAGCGUGGACCAUCCAAGAAGUCGAUGGAGGGAGGGUUGAGGAAAUCAUAUAGUCUCUAUGAUUUCCCAUGGGCGUUCCAGGUGUGGGCGUACGAGACUAUAUCUUCUUUAUCGGGACGUGUUACGACUAAAGUAAGUCUGGACCCCGUGCAACGCAUCCUCUAGUGGAGGUGUGGCCAUUCGACUGCAUAUCAUGUGCUGGUCAGAGAGAUUUUUUGAUCCUCUACUGUAAGAACGCGAACAUUAGACAAAACCAAUGCUAGACGAGCUUCCUGAAUAGGUCCUUCGACCCACCCGAACCAGAAGACGACGAAGUUAUGAUCAAAGGUUUGCAUGGAAGCGAUGCUGCAGAACCAUCCAUAGCACGUGAAAGAAUUGAGAAUGUCGCUGGGGGAAAAGGUGUGAAUGUCUAUCAGGGUGAGAAAGAGAAUGCAACUAAGGUGAAUAAGGGUGGGGAGGAUAAGGGUGAUGACAUCAAUGUGGAGUCUGAGGAGAAUGAUCGGAGGGGAAUAAGAGUGAGAAGAAGUUAUGCAUGUCCAGUGUGCGUCUUAGGAGAGUGGAAAUGAAGGGAUGUGAAUCCCGAAGCGGAAGCGGACUUUCGUUGCUGAUUUUCGGGAUACAAAAUCGAA